rnacentral:misc_RNA from 1 species
AGAUGGACUUAUAAUUACCAUCAACUACUAGGAGUAAUAAGUUAGAGUUGUCAUGGUUGAUCCACGAUAAGGAAAAUUUUACCUAAACCCGGUGAUUAGUGGAUUCAAGACAAAAUAUAUAUGGUGGGUCUCAUAUAUAAAAUAAAUGAAAGAGAAAAUUAUUUUUUAAUUCCUUAACGAGUCUAAUUAUUGGUCCUAUAUAUUAAAAAAUACACUAUUUAAUUUCUUUAUUUUGC